GCUGUGCGGUGCCUAGAACUGCGUUUGCCCUUGCCCAGAAUGUAGACCUCACGAGGGACUCUCCCUUAACCUUCCAUUCGCUCACCCGCACCUCCCACUCUCCCAUUCUGCUAGGCUCGCAUCUGGUGCAGUCUCCCAGACCUGUGCUGGACCGUGGGCUCUUUCAGGAGCAGACAUUGUAGAUAGGAGACAUCAGUGAAUGAAUCCUGAAAACGUGAAUGAACAAACCAGCAACAAUGAAGUCUUCCCUGAGUGACAGCCCCCCAACCCACUGCCACCCCUUCCACCCGUCACCCACCCCCCACCCCUCACUCCUGUUUCCAAGUCUGAAUUAAUUAUUUCCUUCCUUUUGCCAUUUGGUUUGGAGCUCACAUAUCAGACUUUUCAUUAUGUUUGGUACUCAAGGGCUUUAAUGUCCUGUUUAUCUUUGUACAUUCCCAACGCUAUGACCACCAUCAGGGC
rnacentral:lncRNA from 10 species